rnacentral:rRNA from 1 species
UAGGGAAUCUUUCGCAAUGGACGCAAGUCUGACGGAGCAACGCCGCGUGAGUGAAGAAGGAUUUCGGUUCGUAAAACUCUGUUGUUAGAGAAGAACAGCGCAUAGAGCAACUGUUAUGCGUGUGACGGUAUCUAACCAGAAAGCCACGGCUAACUACGUGCCAGCAGCCGCGGUCAUACGUAGGUGGCAAGAGUUGUCCGGAUUUAUUGGGGGUAAAGCGAGCGCAGGCGGUCAAUUAAGUCGGAUGUGAAAGCCUCCGGCUCAACCGGGGAGUGUCAUUGAAAACUGGUUGACUUGAGUGCAGAAGAGGAGAGUGGAAUUCCAUGUGUAAGGGUAAAAUGCGUAGAUAUAGGGAGGAACACCGGUGGCGAAGGGGGCUCUCGGGUCUGUAACUGACGCUGGGGCUCGAAAGCGUGGGGAGCAAACAGG